UACGUAGGCAGCGAGCGUUGUUCGGAGUUACUGGGCGUAAAGGGUGCGUAGGCGGUUGUUUAAGUUUGGUGUGAAAUCUCCCGGCUCAACUGGGAGGGUGCGCCGAAUACUGAAUGACUAGAGUGCGGGAGAGGAUAGGUGGAAUUCCGUGGUGUAGCGGUGGAAUGCGCAGAUAUCAGGAGGAACACCGAGUGGCGAAGGCAGAUCUGCUGGGCCGUAACUGACGC
rnacentral:rRNA from 1 species